CUGCCCAUUCUCUGAAGACCUAUGUUAGUUACGCGCUUGAAAACACCUGAUUACUAGAGCAGCACGACCUGCAAAGUAGACUGGCGCCUACACAAUGCCAACAGGUGAUUGGAAGAGGUCCAAUGAUUGACGGGCAGCAUAGCCAAAGAAACCAGCAAAUGAUUGAAAAAAUAUGUAAGACGCCGCCCACGUGGUUCUUUUGCCAAAGCUGACCUACUGGGUCAGUGCCGCCAAUUUGGUGGAGUUUGAGGCGUCUUGGAUCGUUUUAGAAGACCUUAAGUAGUUUGUGUCGGGACUUUACUGGAAAUGAAGAUCACCUACCACAUACUUCACACUAAGAAAAAGGCUUCCACGACACCGCAGUCACUAAAGAAAGUGAGCAAACUCGUUCACAGUACAUCACACAGUGUACUUGACUACCUUACUAACCAUUUUCACAUCGGUUUGAUUGACAACAAAUGAAACGUGAAAGAAAAAGAGACACGAGUGUUCAAACAACAGCAUAAGGAGAAGCGGACUUCAUUGGAAGUAUUAAAGGGAAUUAUAUAUAUAUAUAUAUUUUUUUUUUUUUUUUGAUUUAAGGUUGUUACCAUUAAACCUACUAUUGAGCGCCAGGCCACAAGUCAUCAAGA